rnacentral:rRNA from 1 species
UACGUAGGGGGCAAGCGUUGUCCGGAUUCACUGGGUUUAAAGGGUGCGUAGGCGGGUUGGUAAGUCCGUGGUGAAAUCCCCAAGCUUAACUUGGGAACUGCCGUGGAUACUAUCAAUCUUGAAUAUCGUGGAGGUAAGCGGAAUAUGUCAUGUAGCGGUGAAAUGCUUAGAUAUGACAUAGAACACCAAUUGCGUAGGCAGCUUACUACACGAUCAUUGACGCUGAGGCACGAAAGCGUGGGGAGCAAACAGG